CUGCGCGGUGCGACGGGGGCGGGGCCGGCAAGAUGGCGGCGGCGGGUGAGGACUUGUUACCUGUUGGGGUGACCUUGGUGAACUUCGGUUGCCUUGUAGGUAACUUUGUUAAAUAUUUAGCCAACUUUAUCGAAAAUACAAAUUUCCAAGUGUAGAAGCGGGAAAUGUUCCUAUUGAUCCUUUUUAUUCAGGUCUCUGUUAGUCUGAGAUAUAUAUUUUGAUUUUAUAUAUAUAUUAUAUUUUUAUAUUAUAUUAUAUAUUUUAUGUAUAUAUUAUAUAUUUUUUCCUUAAUGCCUGUAGUCUCACUGGUUGCAGUAGAAGAACUGAAGUUCCUUCUUCCCAGAAAUGUACCUACCUUUCAUUUUCAAACUUUCCCAUAUGUCUUUAAUUUUAUUAUUUAUUUUCUUUUCAGCUGCACUGUCUUUAUGGAGAAACUGAUGUUUUAGAGUUUGGCAGGAUGUCUGGAUUUAUAGCAGUCCAGACAGAACUACCUUGCAUGUUUUUGCUAUGCUGAUACAUUUCUGUCUUCUUCUACAGCGCCUGCAGAGAUCAUCUGUGUGCUGUGUUUGUACCAAAUCCAAACCUUGUGAGCUAUACUAUCUUUGACAUUCAUUGUACCAUAAUUGUUUCUGUGCAAGAUGUAUUUACUUCCUUGGGAAGCACACUGUGAAGUUACCAUCAAGAGCAAAUGAGCCACACGUUUCAUGCACAAGAAAUGUGACAGAUCUCAGUUUUGUCAGAUUUACUGCAUGUACCAAGACUAUUCAUGUGGCAGAUUUGCAGUGUAAUUGGUGCUUUUUAGAAGUACAUAUUCAUUGUCAGUCUAAAAACUUACAAAUUGACGCAUGAUGGCUUCAGCUUGGGCUUUUAGCCACUCCAAAUAUGUCAAAAACAUUCAAAGUUUUGCUUGCAGAAGGCUGGUAGUAUUGCCUUUUUGUGCAGCUGAGCAGAAUUCACUUAACAAUUGGCUGUAAAAGGCAUCACUGUUUGUGGAGGUGACAAUGAUAGGUUGAAGCCCUGUGUCUUAAACAGAACCAGGGAUAAUGUAGUACUACAAGGGUAUGGGAAUAGAAAUGGAAUAUCUUUUUGCAUUCCUGAAUUCGUUUUCAUUCCUAAAUUUUCAUUUUUGAUGUAUAUUGGUUCUCCUGAGUUGUAAAAAAUAUCCUUAAACCUGCAUUGCAAAGAUCACAUUCAGAUAACUGCUGUGGCUGUUGAAGAAUGACUGAGAUCAUGCUGAAAGAAACCUAAUUCUCCAUUUAGAAAAGAAUUCUACAAGCUUUAUUUCAGUCUUCUUAUUCAGAGAAUAAAAAAGUAAUGUUUUUCAAUAAGACUUGCUCUUUACUUCUGUAGUUUCUAGCAGAUUAUGAGAUUUUGAAGGAUUUAACAUGACCAGCACCGGUUGUUUUGUUUGUUUGUUUGUUUUUGGUAAAUAAAUGAGAUGGCUGCGAUUUUUUUGAAUUU